rnacentral:lncRNA from 1 species
AGUGAGGAGGAAGCCCCUGGAGUAAGUAAGGUCUUUCUCUAUCGUCGGCACUGGAGGGGUGAGAGCUGUAAAGAGGGAGAAUAGGGAACCGCAUGGGGUUGGCCACUCUGGUACUUAAGUGGCUUUCGUCGCCUUUAGGAGACGGGGAAGGGGAAACGAGCAGAAGAUAGAAAUGCUACCAAGGACCAGAAGCGAAAAGGGGAGCAAGGCGUGCGUGGGGCAGGGGAGCGAGCAAUCAGGUGAGGGUAAAGGACCGGGAAGGGGGCGGCGCCCAGGGACCCGAUCCAGGCGGUAGGCGUAGGCGGGCGGGGAGCUGCCCAGAGGUGGGUGUGUGUAUCUGGGUGUGUCCGGGCUGCCGUGGGGGAGGGGGCCGCCCAUCCCGGGGUCCUGAGGGAGGGGCUCGCCGAGGGGGCGGGUCCGGCAGCUCAGCCCGGCCCGGGGCCAAGAGGGUGGAAGGUCUCCCGGUGCCUUGAGGCGGGGUAGGAGGGAAGUGGCUGAACGCCCCACCCAGUUAAGGAGCAGCACCUACCUCCGGGGGUGGAAAUGGGCCGGAAUGGGCCGGAACACCGUCCCGGAAGUGAAACCCCCCACCCCCUCCCCCAGAGCGGGCUACGUGCCGGAAGGAAAUCACUCACCCUUACACCGCCCCUCUCCCCCCUCCCCCAGCGCUUUCCGUCCCUCGCGCCCCCUCCCCUCUCUUCUUUUCCUCCUCAGUCGGUAGGAGGGCGGGCGCUCUGUGUCACGUGGCCGGCCUGUCCACGCCCACAACGGCGAGCAGGAGCUGGUCAAGAGGUGGGGCCAGGGGGGAGCUUAGCGGACGGAAAGGAGCUACGGUUGGAGGAGGAGACUGAGGGAGGGGGAAGACUGGAGAGGGAUGCUGGCGGAGAGAAUGCGUCGUGACGUCACGGAAAAGAGUCCUUAUAUACUGGCGCCUGGGCGCCAUCUCAGUCUUUCGAGGCUGCGGGUUGGGUCUUGGAAUGGUGCUAGGGAUGAAUGCAAUGUGGCUUUUGAUGGCUUCUGAUGGGCAGCUAAGCGCCAAAGAUAUGAGAAUCGCUGCUGGGGUUGUAAAGCGCAAGCUUAACACUGUAUUUGUGGGCAAAAAGGUGCUAGGCAGAGUUAGCUGAAAGGUGAAGAGGUGAACUUGUCUGACAUGUCUGGACCAGCCUUUUUAGUGGGUACUCGGUAUUAUCUGUGGAUGACUUGUUUGGGGUGCAGAUUUUGAGGACCUUUUGUAUAAAGGUGUGAAGAGGCCUUGGCUACAAGGCAUUGAUUGGAACAUGCCUUAAAAGGCAGAUCUUCUGUUACCCUGAAGAUUUCAAAGGCAUUUAAAUGAGCAGCAGUCAACGCAACUUAACCAAUUGACAGGUAGCUGGAUGGAUGCUUGUGGGAUGGAUAGAAGAAAAGUAAACAACUUUGUAUUUUAAUAAAUGUUUUUUACUU